CUGACGAGUGGCGGACGCCCUGAGUAAUGUCUGGGAAACUGCCCGAUGGAGGGGGAUAACUACUGGAAACGGUAGCUAAUACCGCAUAAUGUCGCAAGACCAAAGAGGGGGACCUUCGGGCCUCUUGCCAUCGGAUGUGCCCAGAUGGGAUUAGCUUGUUGGUGAGGUAACGGCUCACCAAGGCGACGAUCCCUAGCUGGUCUGAGAGGAUGACCAGCCACACUGGAACUGAGACACGGUCCAGACUCCUACGGGAGGCAGCAGUGGGGAAUAUUGCACAAUGGGCGCAAGCCUGAUGCAGCCAUGCCGCGUGUAUGAAGAAGGCCUUCGGGUUGUAAAGUACUUUCAGCGGGGAGGAAGGGGUUAAGGUUAAUAACCUUAGCCAUUGACGUUACCCGCAGAAGAAGCACCGGCUAACUCCGUGCCAGCAGCCGCGGUAAUACGGAGGGUGCAAGCGUUAAUCGGAAUUACUGGGCGUAAAGCGCACGCAGGCGGUCUGUCAAGUCGGAUGU
rnacentral:rRNA from 1 species